rnacentral:rRNA from 1 species
AGAGUUUGAUCCUGGCUCAGGACGAACGCUGGCGGCGUGCCUAAUACAUGCAAGUAGAACGCUGAAGAGAGGAGCUUGCUCUUCUUGGAUGAGUUGCGAACGGGUGAGUAACGCGUAGGUAACCUGCCUUGUAGCGGGGGAUAACUAUUGGAAACGAUAGCUAAUACCGCAUAACAAUGGAUGACACAUGUCAUUUAUUUGAAAGGGGCAAUUGCUCCACUACAAGAUGGACCUGCGUUGUAUUAGCUAGUAGGUGAGGUAACGGCUCACCUAGGCGACGAUACAUAGCCGACCUGAGAGGGUGAUCGGCCACACUGGGACUGAGACACGGCCCAGACUCCUACGGGAGGCAGCAGUAGGGAAUUUUCGGCAAUGGGGGAAACCCUGACCGAGCAACGCCGCGUGAAGGAAGAAGUAAUUCGUUAUGUAAACUUCUGUCAUAGAGGAAGAACGGUGGAUAUAGGGAAUGAUAUCCAAGUGACGGUACUCUAUAAGAAAGCCACGGCUAACUACGUGCCAGCAGCCGCGGUAAUACGUAGGUGGCGAGCGUUAUCCGGAAUUAUUGGGCGUAAAGAGGGAGCAGGCGGCACUAAGGGUCUGUGGUGAAAGAUCGAAGCUUAACUUCGGUAAGCCAUGGAAACCGUAGAGCUAGAGUGUGUGAGAGGAUCGUGGAAUUCCAUGUGUAGCGGUGAAAUGCGUAGAUAUAUGGAGGAACACCAGUGGCGAAGGCGACGAUCUGGCGCAUAACUGACGCUCAGUCCCGAAAGCGUGGGGAGCAAAUAGGAUUAGAUACCCUAGUAGUCCACGCCGUAAACGAUGAGUACUAAGUGUUGGGGUUACCCAGUGCUGAAGCUAACGUAUUAAGUACUCCGCCUGAGUAGUACGGUCGCAAGGCUGAAACUCAAAGGAAUUGACGGGCACCCGCACAAGCGGUGGAGCAUGCUGUUUAAUUCGACGAUACGCGAAGAACCUUACCUAGACUUGACAUCCCUGGCAAAGCUAUAGAAAUAUAGUGGAGGUCAUCCAGGUGACAGGUGGUGCAUGGUUGUCGUCAGCUCGUGUCGUGAGAUGUUCGGUUAAGUCCGCUAACGAGCGCAACCCUUAUCCUUAGUUGCUAACAUUAAGUUGAGAACCCUAAGGAGACUGCCGGUGACAAACCGGAGGAAGGUGGGGAUGACGUCAAAUCAUCAUGCCCCUUACGUCUAGGGCUACAGGCGUGCUAUAAUGGCCGAUACAAUAAGAAGCAAUACUGUGAAGUGGAGCAAAUCUGUAAAGUCGGUCUCAGUUCGGAUUGAAGUCUGCAACUCGACUUCAUGAAGCUAGAAUCGCUAGUAAUCCCAAAUCAGAAUGUUGGGGUGAAUACGUUCCCGGGUGUUGUACACACCGCCCGUCAUGCCAUGAAAGUUUGUAAUACCCGAAUGUGGUAGCCUAACCUUUUAGGAGGGGGCCAUUUAAGGUAGGACAAGUGAUUGGGGUAAAGUCGUAACAAGGUAUCCCUACGAGAACGUGGGGAUG